rnacentral:rRNA from 2 species
UUAUAUUGUCAGCUAAGUGGCGCACGGGUGAGUAAUAUAUAGUUAAUCUGCCCCAAAGAAGAGAAUAAUUGUUGGAAACGACUUGUAACGCUCUAUAUGCCUUUAUUACAUAAGUAAGCAAGGGAAACAUUUAUGGCUUUGGGAUGAGACUGUACGGUAUCAGCUAGUUGGUGAGGUAAUGGCUCACCAAGGCUAUGACAUCUAACUGGUUUGAGAGGAUGAUCAGUCACACUGGAACUGAGACACGGUCCAGACUCC